CUGGAUUUUUGGGUAGGUCCCGGCAGGCUGGUCUUCCACAGCUACUGGGGAAGAUGUAUUUCCCCCUUCAAGGGCCUGUAUUAUGGAGGAGCGCAAUCUGAAGAAUUUAGCAAAGAACUUCUGGACAGUGAAAUCUGCAGUGAACGGAGGACUAUCAGAACAAAGACACUGUCAGAAGAUGCCAGACAGCUGACAAGCAGCAAUGAAUUCGUAUCACCACCCUGACAUACCAACAAUGAGGAAGUGAAUAAAACUACUAAAUGCUCUUUUUGUGCUGCUGAGAGAUAGGUCUGGGUCAGCAUACACUUACAAGUCUGGUGAUACAUAAAGGACAUUGUGACUUCUCUGAAGAUGGUUUAGCCCAAUUAAUAAUAUCAACAGGGGAAAGGAAUGCUGCUCUGCUACUGGAGCACUGAGAGAGGAUGUAGAAAGCUGGAGUAUGCACCAAGAUCUCUGUACAACCUUAGUAAAGUCUUGUAAUGCUUUUGAGGACUAACACUUGCCUGCAUAUUUAUUCCAAGACUGACUUUAGGUAUUGUGAA